UUUUUCCAUUUGUUUGUGUCCUCUCUUAUUUCCUUGAGCAGUGGUUUGUAGUUCUUCUUGAAGAGGUCCUUCACAUCCCUUGUAAGUUGUAUUCCUAGGUAUUUUAUUAUCUUAGUAGCAAUUGUGAAUGGGAGUUCACUCAUGAUUUGGCUCUCUAUUUGUCUGUUAUUGGUGUAUAGGAAGGCUUGUGAUUUUUGCACAUUGAUUUUGUAUCCUGAGACU
rnacentral:lncRNA from 10 species